rnacentral:rRNA from 1 species
GACGAACGCUGGCGGCGUGCUUAACACAUGCAAGUCGAGCGGAAAGGCCUCUUCGGGGGUACUCGAGCGGCGAACGGGUGAGUAACACGUGAGUAAUCUGCCCUUCACUCUGGGAUAGCCACCGGAAACGGUGAUUAAUACCGGAUACGACACGUCCAGGCAUCUGGUGCGUGUGGAAACUUUUUGGGUGGGGGAUGUGCUCGCGGCCUAUCAGCUUGUUGGUGGGGUAAUGGCCUACCAAGGCCUCGACGGGUAGCCGGCCUGAGAGGGUGACCGGCCACACUGGGACUGAGACACGGCCCAGACUCCUACGGGAGGCAGCAGUGGGGAAUAUUGGACAAUGGGCGGAAGCCUGAUCCAGCAACGCCGCGUGAGGGAUGACGGCCUUCGGGUUGUAAACCUCUUUCAGCACCGACGAAGCGAUCCUUUGGGGAGUGACGGUAGGUGCAGAAGAAGGACCGGCCAACUACGUGCCAGCAGCCGCAGUAAGAC